rnacentral:ncRNA from 2 species
AAAGCUCUUCAGGGCAGGGUGUAAUCCCCGACCGGCGGUAUAGUCCGCGACUCCCCCAUAAAGGGACUGAACCUGGUGAAACUCCGGUACCGACAGUUAAAGUCUGGAUGAAAGAAGAGCCUG